GACGAACGCUGGCGGCGUGCCUAAUACAUGCAAGUAGAACGCAGUUGCGAACGGGUGAGUAACGCGUCGGUAACUGCCUCAUAGCGGGGGAUAACUAUUGGCAACGAUAGCUAAUACCGCAUACUGUGAGCUGGACCUGCGUUGUAUUAGGUAGUUGGGGAGGUAAAGGCUCACCAAGGCGACGAUACAUAGCCGACCGGAGAGGGUGAUCGGGCACACUGGGACGGGGGAAAGUCCCAGACUCCAAAGGGAGGCAGCAGUAGGGAAUCUUCGGCAAUGGGGGGAAGUCUGAACGAGCAACGCCGCGGGAGAGAAGAAGGUUUUCGGAUCGUAAAGCUAUGUUGUUAGAGAAGCGGUAACUAAACAGAAAGGGACGGCUAACUACGUGCCAGCAGACGCGGUAAUAC
rnacentral:rRNA from 1 species